AUUGAACGCUGGCGGCAGGCCUAACACAUGCAAGUCGAGCGGAUGAAGGGAGCUUGCUCCUGGAUUCAGCGGCGGACGGGUGAGUAAUGCCUAGGAAUCUGCCUGGUAGUGGGGGAUAACGUCCGGAAACGGGCGCUAAUACCGCAUACGCCCUGAGGGAGAAAGUGGGGGAUCUUCGGACCUCACGCUAUCAGAUGAGCCUAGGUCGGAUUAGCUAGUUGGUGGGGUAAAGGCCUACCAAGGCGACGAUCCGUAACUGGUCUGAGAGGAUGAUCAGUCACACUGGAACUGAGACACGGUCCAGACUCCUACGGGAGGCAGCAGUGGGGAAUAUUGGACAAUGGGAGAAAGCCUGAUCCAGCCAUGCCGCGUGUGUGAAGAAGGUCUUCGGAUUGUAAAGCACUUUAAGUUGGGAGGAAGGGCAGUAAGUUAAUACCUUGCUGUUUUGACGUUACCAACAGAAUAAGCACCGGCUAACUUCGUG
rnacentral:rRNA from 1 species